rnacentral:rRNA from 1 species
UACGAAGGAUGCGAGCGUUAUCCGGAUUUAUUGGGUUUAAAGGGUGCGUAGGCGGUCUUAUAAGUCAGUGGUGAAAUCUUGUCGCUUAACGACAAACGUGCCAUUGAUACUGUAGGACUUGAGUACAGAUGCCGUUGGCGGAAUGUGUCAUGUAGCGGUGAAAUGCAUAGAUAUGACACAGAACACCGAUUGCGAAGGCAGCUGACGAAACUGUAACUGACGCUGAUGCACGAAAGCGUGGGGAGCAAACAGG